AUUGAAUGCUGGCGGCAGGCUUAACACAUGCAAGUCGAGCGGAGAUGAGGUGCUUGCACCUUAUCUUAGCGGCGGACGGGUGAGUAAUGCUUAGGAAUCUGCCUAUUAGUGGGGGACAACAUUCCGAAAGGAAUGCUAAUACCGCAUACGCCAUACGGGGGAAAGCAGGGGAUCUUCGGACCUUGCGCUAAUAGAUGAGCCUAAGUCGGAUUAGCUAGUUGGCGGGGUAAAGGCCUACCAAGGCGACGAUCUGUAGCGGGUCUGAGAGGAUGAUCGGCCACACUGGGACUGAGACACGGCCCGGACUCCUACGGGAGGCAGCAGUGGGGAAUAUUGGACAAUGGGCGGAAGCCUGAUCCAGCCAUGCCGCGUGUGUGAAGAAGGCCUUUUGGUUGUAAAGCACUUUAAGCGAGGAGGAGGCUACCUGGAUUAAUACCCUAGGAUAGUGGACGUUACUCGCAGAAUAAGCACCGGCUAACUCUGUGCCAGCCGCCGCCGUAAUAC
rnacentral:rRNA from 1 species